CCUACGUGUGUCAGCAGUGAGGAAUAUUGGUCAAUGUGCGCGAGCCUGAACCAGCCAAGUCGCGUGAGGGAAGACGGUCCUAUGGAUUGUAAACCUCUUUUGUCGGGGAGCAAAAGACGCCACGCGUGGCGUUCCGAGAGUCCCCGAAGAAAAAGCAUCGGCUAACUCCGUGCCAGCAGCCGCGGUAAUACGGAGGAUGCGAGCGUUAUCCGGCUUUAUUGGGUUUAAAGGGUGCGCAGGCGGAAGAUCAAGUCAGCGGUAAAAUUGAGAGGCUCAACCUCUUCGAGCCGUUGAAAAUGGUUGUCUUGAGUGAGUGAGAAGUAUGCAGAAUGCGUGGUGGAGCGGUGAAAUGCAGAGAUAUCACACAGAACUCCGAUUGCGAAGGCAGCAUACCGGCGCUCAACUGACGCUCAUGCACGAAAGUGUGGGUAUCGAACAGGAUUAGAUACCCGAGUAGUC
rnacentral:rRNA from 1 species